UACGGAGGGGGCAAGCGUUGUUCGGAAUCAUUGGGCGUAAAGCGCGCGUAGGCGGUCCGGUUAGUCGGGCGUGAAAGCCCAGGGCUCAACCCUGGAAGUGCGUUCGAUACUGCCAGACUUGAGUGCGGGAGAGGAGAGUGGAAUUCCCAGUGUAGCGGUGAAAUGCGUAGAUAUUGGGAGGAACACCAGUGGCGAAGGCGGCUCUCUGGACCGUAACUGACGCUGAUGUGCGAAAGCUAGGGGAG
rnacentral:rRNA from 1 species